AAAUGAGUAAUUUUUUUAUAUGUUAAUUUUUUAUUAGCACUUAAAUGGGACAGCUUUACCACCAAAAUAUUUGUGGCGAAUACACUAGCAUUUAGCUCAAUGUCUAUGAUGUCUUUUUAUGGGAUAUUCUCGUAUAUUAUAAACACGACUAAAAUGGCUAAUGAAGCAUUGCUAGCCAUAGUUGUUUUUAGUUAUGCCAUGAACUUAAUAUUUGUGUUUCUACAAUUUGUACAUGUAUUAUUAAAAAUAAUAAGUAUCAAUACUAUUCAGAUCGGCAAUUAUUUAGUGUUUACAAGCCCCGUUUUAACAUGUAUGCUAGAUUUAAUAUCAGCAAGAACGAAAUUAAUUUUGAAAAAAGCUUUAGUCGAUACUGGUGGCAAAAAAAAAAAAAAACAUCAACAAAGUAUGGACCAUAUAAUGUACCCAGGAGAAAAAUUAUACUUGAUUGAAGAUAAGUAGGUAUUUAAUUAAGAGCGCAGCUUGUUUCGAAUUCUUUUAAGACAGCAUGUAUAUACAUAUAUAUAUAUAUAUAUAUGUAUAAAUUCUUUUUAACAAUAAAAUGAAUUCUGCAAAAAAUACUACA
rnacentral:lncRNA from 1 species